rnacentral:lncRNA from 1 species
AUGCAUUUAUAAGUGGGUUAAUUGUAGUAAGUUAUUACAUGUGUACUGUAUGCCUUUUUUGUUUCAUUUGUGCCAGUAUCUGGAUUCAGGAACAAUGCUGAACUGACCAUGCAUUUCAUUAUUGGUUAUACAAAUUAGAUGUCAAUAACUUCACUAAAUGUGCUUUAUUAUCUGUUUUAGUAUUUCUCCAAAUGAGGAAGGCUUUUGCUUCAUCCAUGCUUCUUCAUCCCCAUCUGCUCACAGCGGAGAAAAAAUCAAGCAAGAAGAAUAGUAGUUCAGUUAUUGGAGAAGCCAACUUGCUAGCAGAUCGACAUCAUUGGAGAAGAUAGAUGGAGGGCAGGGGAGGGAAGAAACUGACCAAUAGGAGUGCAUGGCUGCUGGCAUGUGUGCCUAUAAACCUAUAUGAUGGUCCAAUCCCCUGCAAAAAUCACUGAAGGGAUAAAAAACAUUAACAAAUAAGCUUUUCUCAUGAAAGGCACCAACUAGAAGUGGCACUGUAAGAACGAAACGUGGACAAUUUUUUGUUCGACAAAAUUUUUCGUCCGUCUGCCUGCCGCCCGUACGAACUUUCUUCUCCACGCCGACAUAUGGGACCGUGCAGGUUCCCGCAACCGCCCCAUCCUCCAAUCACGCUGGCUGACCCCUCGCCGCCGACUCCUCUCUCCUUCCUCUCUCCAUGCCCAGGACUAGGGAUUAGGGUGGGAACCCUAACCGCCCCAAGCGUGACUCUACCGUUGCGAUUUCUCCUCUCCGACCCCAUCCCUAGCCAUGGUAAAGAUCUCUGUCCCACUGACGCCGAUUCCGUCGAGGGAAUCUAGGCCACUACCACAUCGCGCGACCUUAGCUUGAAGAGCUUGCACUAUUCCUAAUUUUAUAAUUACAUGUCAUCAAAAUGAAAAAAAAACAUAGCAUGGUUGCAUGCAUGGAGCCUCUACCCUUAUGUCCCAGCGGCCUUAGCUAAUAGACAAACUAAGCUACCGGCUAAUAGAAAGCUAUUAGCACUACUACAAUAAUCUUUACUGAGGCGGGCAAAAUCAAUUAACCAAGACGGUUUUCACAACCGCCUCGGAUCAAAGGUGGUUUGCUGCUCGCCACGUUGAAUCAAAUAAAAAAAGAAAAAAAGAAAUAAUAUCCAUGAACAAGCCCGCCAAGCCCAUCGACGUGCCGACAUUGCCGCUAGUGCUCGCCGAUGAGACCACUAGACCUGCUUGCCGAUGACACCUCGUCAGAGAUGGGGGGAGAGACACUCGAAGGGUAGGUGGAGUAUGGGAAUAUCCCGUCGGAGAUGAGGUAGGCGGCGUGGAUUCCGUCAAAAUCCCUCGAUGGACCUGGCCACCCCGUCAUCUUCCCUUGCUAGAUCCACCUCCCACCCACCGGAUCUAGAGCUCGACAUGGAGGAUCUCGCCGGAUCGACCACCUGUCCACCAGAGGGAGCUUGUUGGAGGCUUGGGCGUCGAGUGGGAAGGAACUAGCUGACACCACGCUGCUCGGGAGGGAGAGAGCUGCUGCUCGGGAGGUUGACGCCGCUGCCACUCGGAAGGAAGGGAGGUAGCCAUCACGAAAGGAGGAAGGUAGCCUGGAGGAUGAGCCGCUACUGAGAAGGGAGGAAGGUGGCCUGGAGCGAGCGGUACAGAGCUUGCGAGGGGAGGGGCGUCGGGCUCCAGGAUCGGAGCUUGUGCGAGAGGAGUGGAAGGGUCGCAACAGCGCGACUUUGGAGGUGGAUGGGGAGUGGAGUGGGAAGGAAACCCUAAAGUCUUGUAUUUAUACAAUCAGUUGGUUAUCAAGCCUAAUGGGCUACCUCCUACGCCAUCAUUUACCGAGGCGGGCUCUAUAGUGUAACCGCUCCGAAAAUGGAUUUACGGAGGCGGUUGUUGUAACAGGACCGCCUCCGUAAAUAAAUUAUUUUUGGAGGCAGUUGAAUUAAGGCGGCCGCUGCGGUAAAACCAUUUUACGAGACGGUUGUUUGUAACCGCCUUAGUUAAUAAAAAGUGAGCGCCUUGGUUAACACAGACCAUUAGCCGAGGUGGUCCAAAAACCUGCCUGUCUCCGAGCCUGUUUUCAAUAGGUCACAGUUAUUGUUUUUUUAGUAGUGUAUCUAGUUUGCAGCAACUACUGGAUCUAAACAUAAUCUUACACAGUAAUCUACCAGCAGCAAGCAUUUUUAUUAUUGCCUUGUUGAAUCUUAUAUGAAUAUUUUAAAACAAUCUUUUCUCCAAUAAACCUGCAAGAGAGAAAUUUAUCUCAAAGCAGAAGAGCGUAAUGGCUUCACGGCAGCUCCAUUCGUCGAUAAGAAAGUGAGUAUUGAUGAACCCUUCCUCAGAGUUUGUACACCAACCUCCAUUU